GAAAUGCGAUAAGUAGUGUGAAUUGCAGAAUUCAGUGAAUCAUCGAAUCUUUGAACGCACAUUGCGCCCUUUGGUAUUCCUUAGGGCAUGCCUGUUCGAGCGUCAUCUAAACCUUCAAGCCCUGCUUGGUGUUGGGUGCCUGUCCCGCCUCCGCGCGCGGACUCACCUCAAAUCCAUUGGCGGCCCCCGCGUCGGCCACGAGCGCAGCAGAAACGCGAACUCGUGAGCCCGUCCGAGCGGCUCCCAGAAGCUACACCCACCCAGUUUGACCUCGGAUCAGGUAGGGAUACCCGCUGAACUUAAGC
rnacentral:misc_RNA from 1 species